CUAAGGUCCCCAAAUAUAUACUAAGUUGAAUUAACGAAGUCGAACUGCAGCGACAGCUAGGAUGUUGGCUUGGAAGCAGCCAUUCAUUUAAAGAGUGCGUAACAGCUCACUAGUCGAGCGGUUUGGCGUGGAUAAUAAUCGGGCAUAAACAUACUACCGAAGCUAUGGAACCAUAUUUAUAUGGUUGGUAGGGGAGCAUUCCAAUUUGCGUAGAAGGUUUAGCGGCGAGCUAAGCUGGAGUAAUUGGAAAAGCAAAUGUAGGUAUAAGUAACGAUAAAGGGGGUGAGAAACCUCCUCGCCGGAAGACUAAGGGUUCCUGAUCAACGCUAAUCGGAUCAGGGUUAGUCGGGGCCUAAGGGGUAGCCGAAAGGCGAACUCGAUGGAAGAAUCGGUUAAUAUUCCGAUACUACCUUAAAGAGCCAAGCAGGGACGGAGUAGUGAAAGUUCUGCUGUCUGACGGAAUAGGCAGUUAAAGGGUGUAGACGUUGAUUAUGGUAGGCAAAUCCGCCGUAAGAGUCGAACCUGAUAGUACAAAGAGCCCUCGUGGUAAUUUGAUAUGAACGUAAACAGGCUUCCAAGAAAAACUGCUAAGCAUAUUUUUAAGGUACCCGUACCACAAACGGACACACGUGGUCAAGUAUAGUGUACUAAGGCGCUCGAGUGAUUCACGGUUAAGGAACUAGGCAAAUUAGACCCGUAACUUCGGGAGAAGGGUCCCCUACUCGCAAGAGAGGGCGCAGAGAAAUGGUCCAGGCGACUGUUUAACAAAAACACAGGGCUAUGCAAAAUUGAAAGAUGAAGUAUAUGGCCUGACACCUGCCCGGUGCUGGAAGGUUAAGAGGAGAUGUCAUCGUAAGAGAAGCAUUGAAUUGAAGCCCCAGUAAACGGCGGCCGUAACUAUAACGGUCCUAAGGUAGCGAAAUUCCUUGUCGGGUAAGUUCCGACCUGCACGAAUGGUGUAACGAUCUGGACACUGUCUCAACCGUGAGCUCGGUGAAAUUGUAGUAUCGGUGAAGAUGCCGAUUACCCGCAACGGGACGGAAAGACCCCGUGAACCUUUACUGCAGCUUUGCAUUGUGUUUGGGUAAGUAAUGUGUAGGAUAGGCCGGAGGCUAUGAAGCGGGCACGCUAGUGUUUGUGGAGCCGACGUUGAAAUACGGCCCUUUGCUUAUUUGAAUACUAAUUCCUUUAAAGGAAGACAUUGCAUGGUGGGUAGUUUGACUGGGGUGGUCGCCUCCAAAAGAGUAACGGAGGCUUCUAAAGGUACCCUCAGGCCGAUUGGUAACCGGUCGUAGAGUGUAAUGGCAUAAGGGUGCUUGACUGUGAGACAGACAAGUCGAUCAGGUAGGAAACUAGAGCAUAGUGAUCCGGUGGUUCCGCAUGGAAGGGCCAUCGCUCAAAGGAUAAAAGGUACUCCGGGGAUAACAGGCUGAUCGCUCCCAAGAGCUCAUAUCGACGGAGCGGUUUGGCACCUCGAUGUCGGCUCGUCACAUCCUGGGGCUGGAGAAGGUCCCAAGGGUUGGGCUGUUCGCCCAUUAAAGUGGCACGCGAGCUGGGUUCAGAACGUCGUGAGACAGUUCGGUCCCUAUCUGUUGUGGGCGCAGGAAAUUUGAGAGGGUCUGACACUAGUACGAGAGGACCGUGUUGGACGAACCGCUGGUUUAUCGGUUGUACCGCCAGGUGCAUUGCCGAGUAGCUACGUUCGGUUAAGGAUAAGUGCUGAAAGCAUCUAAGCACGAAGCCAUCCUCAAGAUUAGAUUUCCAUUAGGGUCGUAGAAGACUACUACGUUGAUAGGCUGUAGGUGUAAAGGCAGAGAUGUCAUAGCCGAGCAGUACUAAUAGCCCGAACUUUCUUUA
rnacentral:rRNA from 1 species